rnacentral:rRNA from 1 species
GGGGGGGGGGGGGGGGGGGCUGGGGGCGGGGAGGGGGGGGGACCGGGGGGGGGGUUGGCGCCGCGGCGUUUGCGGCGGGCGGGUGGGGACCCCCGGGGUAACCCACCCUUAAGGCCUGGGUCACCUCGGGGAACCGGGAGUUAUACCGGCAUAACUUUUUACACCGCUGGGUCCAUCAGUAACAGCCGUUUUUCCUUCACCUUUCGCUGUACCCCCGCCGCAUUAGCUAGUUGGUAAGGUAACGGCUUACCCAGGCAACGAUGCGUAGCCGACCUGAGAGGGUGAUCGGCCACACUGGAACUGAGACACGGUCCAGACUCCUACGGGAGGCAGCAGUAGGGAAUCUUCCGCAAUGGGCGAAAGCCUGACGGAGCAACGCCGCGUGAGUGAUGAAGGUCUUCGGAUCGUAAAACUCUGUUAUUAGGGAAGAACAAAUGUGUAAGUAACUAUGCACGUCUUGACGGUACCUAAUCAGAAAGCCACGGCUAACUACGUG